GCACUUAAGAAGCUCGUAGUUGAAUUUCUGCCUUGUCAUUAAUCUCGCUUUCGAGCGUUAUUUUAUUGACUUGGCAUCUUCUGGAUUUGGUAUCCUUAAUUGGUUACUAUCUUCCAGUAUUUACUUUGAGAAAACUAAAGUGUUUCAAACAGGCCAUUUGCCUUGAAUACUACAGCAUGGAAUAAUGAAGUAGGACUUUGGUUCUAUUUUGUUGGUUAUUGAGCCAGAGUAAUGGUUAAUAGGAGCAGUUGGGGGCAUUCGUAUUUAACUGUCAGAGGUGAAAUUCUUAGAUUUGUUAAAGACGAACUACUGCGAAAGCAUUUGCCAAGGAUGUUUUCAUUAAUCAAGAACGAAAGUUAGGGGAUCGAAGACGAUCAGAUACCGUCGUAGUCCUAACCAUAAACUAAA
rnacentral:rRNA from 1 species